AUGGCUCAGGAUGAACGCUGGCGGCGUGCCUAACACAUGCAAGUCGAGCGAUUACUUCGGUAAAGAGCGGCGGACGGGUGAGUAACGCGUGGGUAACCUGCCUCAUACACAUGGAUAACAUACCGAAAGGUAUGCUAAUACAGGAUAAUAUAAGAGAUUCACAUGGAUUUUUUAUCAAAGCUCCGGCGGUAUGAGAUGGACCCGCGUCUGAUUAGCUAGUUGGUAAGGUAAUGGCUUACCAAGGCGACGAUCAGUAGCCGACCUGAGAGGGUGAUCGGCCACAUUGGAACUGAGACACGGUCCAAACUCCUACGGGAGGCAGCAGUGGGGAAUAUUGCACAAUGGGCGAAAGCCUGAUGCAGCAACGCCGCGUGAGUGAUGAAGGCCUUCGGGUACGUAAAACUCUGUCCUCAAGGAAGAUAAUGACGGUACUUGAGGAGGAAGCCCCGGCUAACUACGUGCCAGCCGCCGC
rnacentral:rRNA from 1 species